GGGAGGCAGCAGUGAGGAAUAUUGGACAAUGGAUGGAAAUCUGAUCCAGCCAUGCCGCGUGCAGGAAGACGGCCCUAUGGGUUGUAAACUGCUUUUGUAUGGGAGCAAUAAGGUCUAUGCGUAGACUGAUGAGAGUACCAUACGAAUAAGCAUCGGCUAACUCCGUGCCAGCAGCCGCGGUAAUACGGGGGAUGCAAGCGUUAUCCGGAUUUAUUGGGUUUAAAGGGUGCGUAGGCGGUUUGAUAAGUCCAGCGGGGUGAAAUAUUUCAGCUUAACUGAAAAAGGGUGCCGUUGAUACUGUCAGGCUUGAAUAUGGUUGCUGUGGGUGGAAUGUGUGGUGUAGCGGUGAAUGCUUAUAUAUCACACAGAAUAUCGAUUGCGAAGGCAGCUCACAAGCCAUCAUUGACGCUGAUGCACGAAAGUGUGGGAUCAACCAGGAUUAGAUMACCUGGUAGUCCCACUGUAAACGAUGAUACUCGCUGUCGCGAUACACAGAUCGGUAGCCAAGCAAAGGGCAUAAGUAUCCCCUGGGGGAUCGACCGCCAAGGUGGAACUCAAAGGAUGACGGGCCCGCACAAGCGAAGGAACAUGUGGUUUAAUUCGAUGAUACGCGAGGAACCUUACCGGGCUCGAACGGUGCAGAAUACGUCAGAGAUGAUGUAGCUAGCAAUGCGUGCUGCAUGGUUGUCGUCAGCUCGUGCCGUGAGGUGUCGGCUUAAGUGCCAUAACGAGCGCAACCCUUGUCGUUAGUUGCCAUCAGGUAAUGCUGGGAACUCUAGCGAGACUGCCACCGUAAGGUGUGAGGAAGGGGGGGAUGACGUCAAAUCAGCACGGCCCUUACGUCCGGGGCGACACACGUGUUACAAUGGUAGGCACAGAGGGCAGCUACCCAGCAAUGGGGUGCGAAUCUCAAAAGCCUAUCUCAGUUCGGAUCGGAGUCUGCAACUCGACUCCGUGAAGUUGGAUUCGCUAGUAAUCGCGCAUCAGCCAUGGCGCGGUGAAUUGUUCCCGGGCCUUGUACACACCGCC
rnacentral:rRNA from 1 species